CCUACGGGAGGCAGCAGUGAGGAAUAUUGGUCAAUGGGCGGGAGCCUGAACCAGCCAAGCCGCGUGAGGGAAGAAGGUACAGCGUAUCGUAAACCUCUUUUGUCAGGGAACAAAGGCGGGGACUAGUCCCCGGAUGAGGGUACCUGAAGAAAAAGCAUCGGUGAACUCCGUGCCAGCAGCCGCGGUAAUACGGAGGAUGAGAGCGUUAUCAGAAUUUAUUGGGUUUAAAGGGUGAGCAGGGGGCCUGUUAAGUCAGCGGUAAAAGCCCGGGGCUAAACCCCGUUGAGCAGUUGAAACUGGCAGGCUGGAGUAGGAGAGAAGUACGCGGAAUGCGCGGGGUAGCGGUGAAAUGCUUAGAUAUCGCGCAGAACCCCGAUUGCGAAGGCAGCGUACCGGCUCCACACUGACGCUGAGGCACGAAAGCGUGGGUAUCGAACAGGAUUAGAUACCCUGGUAGUC
rnacentral:rRNA from 1 species